AGUGAACGCUGGCGGUAGGCCUAACACAUGCAAGUCGAACGGCAGCACAGUAAGAGCUUGCUCUUACGGGUGGCGAGUGGCGGACGGGUGAGGAAUACAUCGGAAUCUACUUUUUCGUGGGGGAUAACGUAGGGAAACUUACGCUAAUACCGCAUACGACCUACGGGUGAAAGCAGGGGAUCUUCGGACCUUGCGCGAUUGAAUGAGCCGAUGUCGGAUUAGCUAGUUGGCGGGGUAAAGGCCCACCAAGGCGACGAUCCGUAGCUGGUCUGAGAGGAUGAUCAGCCACAGUGGAACUGAGACACGGUCCAGACUCCUACGGGAGGCAGCAGUAGGGAAUAUUGGACAAUGGGCGCAAGCCUGAUCCAGCCAUACCGCGUGGGUGAAGAAGGCCUUCGGGUUGUAAAGCCCUUUUGUUGGGAAAGAAAAGCAGCAGGUUAAUACCCCGCUGUUCUGACGGUACCCAAAGAAUAAGCACCGGCUAACUUCGUG
rnacentral:rRNA from 1 species